UUAAAAUUUAAUUCUAAUUUAGAAAUUUAUACAUACAAUUUUAUAAACAUGUAAUAAUAUAGCAAGUAUUUUUUAAAAAUUUACAAAUAAAGGUUAAACCUUUUAAUUAACAGUUUAAAAUUUUAGUAAUAUCAUUUUAAUAAAAAGAUCUAGUAAAAUAACAUAUCAUCAGCCCAAUAUUGUGCCAGCCGCUGCGGUUAAACAAUAAAUGAAAAUAAAUUUUAUCGUAAACAGUAAAUUUCAAGUAAAAAUUUUUGAUUAAAAAUGAUAACUAAAAGAGUAAAAUCUAAAAUUUAUCUAAUAAAUCAUUAAUAUUUUUUAAAAAAAACUGAAGAAAAAUAAAUAAAACUAGGAUUAGAUACCCUACUAUAAAAUUUAAAAUUUUAAAUUAUAAACAAGGUAGUAGAAAUUUUUAACUCAAAACCUAAAGAAUCUGGCGGUAACCUAACCAAUUAGAGGAACCUGUCUCAUAAUCGAUAAUCCACGAACAAUGCACUUUAUUAUCUACAUAGUUUGUAUACCAUCGUCAUAAUAAAAUAUUUAAAAAUUAUUUUAAAUCCUCUCUAAAGAGAGAAGUCAGAUCAAGGUGCAGCUUUAAUAAAGAGAAGAUGGGUUACAAUAAAUCAAUUAUUACGGAAAUAUAAAAGUAACUUUUUAUAUCAAAGGAGAAUUUAAAAGUAAAAAAAAAAAAAAAAAACUCUUGAAUUGGGCCCUAGGUUAUGCACACAUCGCCCGUCACUCUCAUAAUCUAACCUGAGAUAAGUCGUAACAAAGUAGGUGUACCGGAAGGUGUACCUAGAAAGAAAUCAAUAAU
rnacentral:ncRNA from 1 species